UAGGGAAUCUUCCGCAAUGGGCGAAAGCUUGCCGGAGCAACGCCGCGUGAGUGAUGAAGGUCUUCGGAUCGUAAAACUCUGUUAUUAGGGAAGAACAAAUGUGUAAGUAACUAUGCACGUCUUGACGGUACCUAAUCAGAAAGCCACGGCUAACUACGUGCCAGCAGCCGCGGUAAUACGUAGGUGGCAAGCGUUAUCCGGAAUUAUUGGGCGUAAAGCGCGCGUAGGCGGUUUUUUAAGUCUGAUGUGAAAGCCCACGGCUCAACCGUGGAGGAUCAUUGGAAACUGGAAAACUUGAGUGCAGAAGAGGGAAGUGGAAUUCCAUGUGUGGCGGUGAAAUGCGCAGGGAUAUGGAGGAACACCAGUGGCGAAGGCGACUUUCUGGUCUGUAACUGACGCUGAUGUGCGAAAGCGGGGGGAUCAAACAGG
rnacentral:rRNA from 1 species